GAUGAACGCUAGCUACAGGCUUAACACAUGCAAGUCGAGGGGCAGCGGGAUUGUAGCUUGCUUCAAUUGCCGGCGACCGGCGCACGGGUGAGUAACGCGUAUCCAACCUUCCGUACACUCAGGGAUAGCCUUUCGAAAGAAAGAUUAAUACCUGAUGGUAUGAUGAGAUUGCAUGAUAUCAUCAUUAAAGAUUUAUCGGUGUACGAUGGGGAUGCGUUCCAUUAGGUAGUAGGCGGGGUAACGGCCCACCUAGCCAACGAUGGAUAGGGGUUCUGAGAGGAAGGUCCCCCACAUUGGAACUGAGACACGGUCCAAACUCCUACGGGAGGCAGCAGUGAGGAAUAUUGGUCAAUGGACGAGAGUCUGAACCAGCCAAGUAGCGUGAAGGAUGAAGGUCCUACGGAUUGUAAACUUCUUUUAUAAGGGAAUAAACCCUCCCACGUGUGGGAGCUUGUAUGUACCUUAUGAAUAAGCAUCGGCUAACUCCGUG
rnacentral:rRNA from 1 species